GGUUGGGCGGGGCGGUCCCGGUGUAGGGGUGCCGCUCUCGUGAGCCACAGGCCUGGCCACAGAGGCUGCUGGCGCGAGGUGGAGUCACUUGAAGACUCUGGGGUCUUCUCUGGCAUUCCCCGAGCCACAGUUGGGGAAACCGAGGCCGGGAAGCUGAAAGAAAGAGACAGGGUUCACUGUCUGCCCCGCGGGCCUCCUCACAGCCCUCGCCAGUUCUCUGAGGUGAUGGCUUCUGGCCUCGGGAGUCACAGUGACAACAGUAGGAGCCACCAUUGAUUCUGCGUCUGCUGGGUGCAAAGCCGGGAGCUAACCCUUUCCUCUCGUCCUUUCACUCACCUUCACAAUAGCUCUGCGAGGUGAGUGCUCUUGUUAGUGCUAUUUACAAGGGUGGACAUUGAGGCCGAGGGAAGGUGAAAUGAUGUGCUUAAAGUCACCUAAUUGGUCAGCAUGUCUCCAACUGAGAAUUUUGACCAUCCCGCUGCACUGCCCCUCGGAGGAGUCAGAUCCGGAUUAGACAGA
rnacentral:lncRNA from 1 species